UCAUCGUCAGCUCAUUUUGUAUAUGUAUGANGUUAUGAUGUGAGUUACUCUNUGUAGUAUUGCUCGCACGUACUUAUGCAUUUAUUUGCAAGGUGUUGUCGGCGUGCACUUCUCCCCUAGUAGGACGUCGCGACCCGUUGGGUAUCGGUCUACGACCCGAGUGGUAGACUUUAAUGUUUUNAUAAUAUUAAAGACCCUUGGUGUUUUCUGACCGGCUGCCCGGCGGUAUUCGUACGGUAUUUAGCCGCAUUUAUUUGNNCGUCCAUGUCCAUCGCAAGCGCGGCCAAUUUCUGGUAGUNACGGACCUAGUGCCGUCGCUGGAAUUGGCCAGCUGUUGGUUGAAUGGAAUUCUAGGACUGGCUAAAAAUUAUUACCGGUCGGCGAUGCUACUGCUUUGGGUACUUUCAGGACCCGUCUUGAAACACGGACCAAGGAGUCUAACAUGUGCGCGAGUCAUUG
rnacentral:rRNA from 1 species